rnacentral:rRNA from 1 species
GGUGUGAAUUGCAGAAUCCCGUGAAUCAUCGAGUUUUUGAACGCAAGUUGCGCCCGAAGCCAUUAGGCUGAGGGCACGUCUGCCUGGGYGUCACGC